rnacentral:lncRNA from 1 species
UAAUACCAACUCUAGCCCAAGACGAAGCAUUUCCAAAGUGUGAUCAUGCAUUACACGAAUAUUCAAUAUGCAACCAUCUAUUGGUAUCUACACCACAUCAGUUUACAAAAUCCUCCAUGAAAUGGUAAUUUACAGAUAUAUUGACAAAAUAUAUCACACAACAACGCUAGGAACCAGUACAAUCCAAUUACAACAACAGAAAAUAUGAUACUAUUGAGGCUGCUAUUCAGGUUCUUAUCGUCGCCCCUCCUGAUGGUAAGUAUCAUGUCAUGGCGGAUUGUGUUGGCCAGCACCAAGAAGCCUGCUACCCAAUCAUACCUAACAUAUUUACAACAUUAGAUAGUAGAUAGUAGAAAUAAAAGAAUAAGAACAAACUUCAAAAAUAAAUUACGUGUUGUCCAAAAUUCUUAAAUUUUAACAAGCCUACAUAUCAGAAUAACAAAGUAUACUUUAAAACAAAACUAAACAUGAGGUUGCCUAAAAUUAAUUCAAAUAAAAGUGGGUCAAAUGAAAGUCUAAUAAAGUUGACAUAUAAGUGACAAUGUAAUAGAACAUACAUCGGAGAACACAAGUACUCAACAACAGUUAAGGCCAUAUAAACCCGUCGAGAAAAUGGCAUCACUAACAAAUAAUAUCAAUGAAGCGGAACCGCUACUCAUCGGUUACUCAUCGACCUCGCGAGCAUAAGCUUCAAAUUUUUCAUGUGUCAACAAGCAUACACAUGAAACUAAAUGUUUAUCUAAGGCACCUACAGUAGUAAAACACAAUUGCUUGACAAGUAAACUUCAAAUGGCAUGCAAAAUAACUAUGAGCCGUGGCCACUAAUAAAUCUAUAAAACUAAGUGGCAAAUGGUUCUCUGAAGAGAUACUGGAUAGGAUGUAUCAGUUAUUUCUCUUAACAACAUGCAUGCUGUGGUUACUUUUAAUUCAAGUGCAUGAGAAGUUCAUCACAAGAUCCAAGGGGCACAAACAAAUUAGUAAAUUAGUAGAAAAUCACACCAUGGUGAAAAUGCCUAACUCAGAACUACAUUAACUAAAUAGGUGUAGUUCAGUAGCAAUUGAGCUAGGGAAUGGAAAUACUGGACAAAUCAUAGGAGUGGCAGUAGAGAACCAACCCCUGGUUGAUCACGGAGCAGCUCCACCAACAGUUAUCGUGUCCACCCUCCCGAGCUCUAUUGUGUGCCAUGCAGCAGUACGGCUGCUACAACACCACCUAGACCUACAUCCCAAAAAAGCAGAGAUCAUAAUUAGGGAGAUUACAGUGUUAAUUGAUUGUAAAAAAAGGGAAAACAUUAGGGAAAAGAUUUAGGAUCAGACAGUAGACAUCAACCCCUACUUUUGGGAAAACUAUUGCGGAGGGCAACCUGGCUUGGAGGCAGGGAGCACAUGAGUUGAAAAAGAAAUGUGUGUCACUGUGUUGGCAAGUUCUAGCUUGGUGUGUACCUCCAGGUUGAGGGAGAGUGAACUAACAUGGCAUUGGUUCUAGUACUAGUAGGCGCACAACCAAUGGUAGUAGUACUACAUUUGCUUAGUACACAAACGAACAGGUUUAAACCUCUGUAUUAUAACUGCAGUACUGCCACACUAUACCAAUGUAUUUUUCUUCUUAGAUUCAGAUUAAACUUAAUUCUGGUUAUAUAUAUUCACCAAGUUGCAGUUGACAAUAUGGAUAGAAGUGUAUGGAGAAAACUCUAAACAGAACAUGUCACCAUAUUAAUACAGUAACAGAAAUCAUGUCUCCUAUUUGAUGAAAUUAUUCACCACUUGAUUACAUUGAUUCAUACUGAAUUAUAUUUUGAUAGAAAACUAAACUGAAUGCAUAUAGAACACUUAAUUAUAUUGAUUUAGAGAACAGAGAUACAUAAAAUUGUCAGAAAAAUCUAAAGUGAAUUAGAUCUUGGUAGAAAAUUAAACAAAAUUUGAUCUUGAUAGAAGCCCACAUAGCACAGUGCAGCCGGUUGACGAACAUGUGCCUUCUGUCUUUACUGAGUACCCUGCAGUGUAAAGAUACAUAGAAAAUUCAAUGUUAAAGAUCCAGAGAGGAAACCCGCAAACACAACUCAGCGUCUACUGCACGCACACACAUCUCACUCGUAUACACACCCUAGCCCUCGAUAGCCACUGCCGCCACCAUGCCAGCACGCACACACAACACCCUAAGAUUUGGAGAAGGCAGUAGCCAAGCUUAAGUAAUCGAUUGAAGAGGGAGGCCACGCACCAGCCUUAGGCUUCCCACACUGCCCACGAAUGGCUGUUACAACUACCAGCUUAGGCAAAUGAACCUGACCUGUGGUCGAAGCAGCAUCAUGAGGCCAUGGUGUCGAGGAAGCCAACAGAAGGGGCGGGAGCCACACCGGAAUCCAGCGGUGGCUAGGGUACACUACGGCCUCCUGCGAGCCAUUGUCCUAGACCGGCCACCACACGGUUUCUCUGCUCCGACCAGGCCAACAUCGGGGGAUGAGCCCAUGCUGGAUCUGCGCGCGCCCAAGACGCG